rnacentral:rRNA from 1 species
UACGAAGGGGGCUAGCGUUGCUCGGAAUCACUGGGCGUAAAGGGUGCGUAGGCGGGUCUUUAAGUCAGGGGGGAAAUCCUGGAGCUCAACUCCAGAACUGCCUUUGAUACUGGCGACCUUGAGUCCGGGAGAGGUGAGUGGAACUGCGAGUGUAGAGGUGAAAUUCGUAGAUAUUCGGAAGAACACCAGUGGCGAAGGCGGCUCACUGGACCGUUGUUGACGCUGAGGUGCGAAAGCGUGGGGAGCAAACAGG